GAUGAACGCUGGCGGCGUGCCUAAUACAUGCAAGUCGAGCGAACAGAUGAGGAGCUUGCUCCUCUGACGUUAGCGGCGGACGGGUGAGUAACACGUGGAUAACCUACCUAUAAUACUGGGAUAACUUCGGGAAACCGGAGCUACUACCGGAUAAUAUAUUGAACCGCAUGGUUCAAUAGUGAAAGACGGUUUUGCUGUCUCUUAUAGAUGGAUCCGCGCCGCAUUAGCUAGUUGGUAAGGUAACGGCUUACCAAGGCAACGAUGCGUAGCCGACCUGAGAGGAUGAUCGGCCACACUGGAACUGAGACACGGUCCAGACUCCUACGGGAGGCAGCAGUAGGGAAUCUUCGGCAAUGGGCGAAAGCCUGACGGAGCAACGCCGCGUGAGUGAUGAAGGUCUUCGGAUCGUAAAACUCUGUUAUUAGGGAAGAACAAAUGUGUAAGUAACUAUGCACGUCUUGACGGUACCUAAUCAGAAAGCCACGGCUAACUACGUG
rnacentral:rRNA from 1 species